CCAACAAUCUACAGCUGUCUGUGUAAAGAUGAUCUUGAAUGGUGUGGUGGCAGUGGUUGUGUACACAGACAUUCACUCACCAGGUUUUCCAGGGAGGCCUAACUAUACGUGUAGCUGGAAUGGGAAGACCUAGCUGCAAUAGCUGGCAUUUUUCAUGAAACCUUGGGUCAGUACUGACUGAGUGAAGAGAAGCCAGUGGAAUGCAUCUGGUUUGGCAUUGGUCGUCGUGCAUUCCUCAGUGGUCUGGAGACCAUGACCUUGACAUUCAUAUUUGGUGGCAUAUUUGGGCUAAUAUCAAUGAAUGAAAUGUUGAUGUACGGGUUGAUAGGAAGAAACGGAAGAGAGAAUGGGUUACCUCUUCCGUUUGCAGAAGGAGCACCUUUGCAAAGAGAUGGAUGCACAGCCUGGUACCUGUGCUGAAAGGUGUGUGUUAGGAUGCAGAGCCUUGGACCUGUGCUGAAAGGUGUGUGUUAGGAUGCAGAGCCUUGGACCUGUGCUGAAAGGUGUGUGUUAGGAUGCACAGCCUUGGACCUGUGCUGAAAGAUGUGUGUUAGGAUGCACAGCCUUGGACCUGUGCUGAAAGGUGUGUGUUAGGAUGCAGAGCCUUGUACCUGUGCUGAAAGGUGUGUGUGUGUGAGGACUGAAGUUGUAGCUUCAGGCCAUAGUGGAUCCCUAGGAAACCGUUUGGUGUGAUCUCGCCCCACUGGUCUAACCUGUUGCUCAGGCUCAUGGCUCAAAAGAGGAUCUUCUCUGACUUUGAUCUCCAAGGUCUAAAGCCUGACAACAUCUUACAUAUAAACUCCUUUUGUUCUUAUUAUUGUAGUAUCAUUUUUCACGCCAUAUUUGCACUAAAGAUGAAGUCUUCUGUCCAGGCUGGCUUUGCGCUCCCUAGAUUCUGGUAGUUUCUGCUCCUCACUCAGUGCCCCGGUGACCCGGUGUUUUGGUUGUUUUAAGGCGUGGACUGUCAGUUGGGGAUCAUGUCUGUACAGUGACUUAAAUGUUAGACUGACUAGCUGUUGGCCUGUGAGCUAAAUGACUUCAUACUCCCUACCCCAAGCAGAUUGGGGGGCAGUGUAUUAUUACAUUUGUACACCCUUACCACCUCUUCCUUCACAGAAGUAAAAACAAAGCUUAGCCAAGAUGGAGGAGGCUGAAGGCUACGUGGAGAAUGAAAACACUGAUAUGAUUGAAUAAUGUCUAGACUACCAUUAGUGUCUCCAUCAACAUCAGCUGACAUUUAUAUGUGACUUUAACUUGGUCGAGGCAAACAGCACUCAAGCUUUUGAGCCAGCCGAUAGGCUACCAUUCAUGUUAACUGACAGGCUUGCUACUGAGCUACCUGUUGACACUAACUACAGGGUAGCCAUGCUUACUUGGGACUGUUUGACAGUUCAAUCCGACAUGGUUAUUUCUCCACAUUCUGUUGCUAUUUAUUGUUAUUUUUUCAACGUUUUAAACUACAAUGAUUCCAAAUAGCACCUUUUUAAAGGCAUCCUCUCGCACAACUGAAGUCAGUCCCCUCACAGAAAUGAAGUUGGUUUUGGUUUUGUAGGACAUCUGGGUGGGUUUGAUUGACCACAUAGGCCAGUGUUUUCCAUGUUCAAUAUUGCGACAGGGCUUUAAAACAACUAAAACGUAAUCAGAAUGUUUUAGACUUGAGACUUGUUAUCAAACUUAAGUUAGACUAACUGCUUUGAGUGUUUCAGGCCUAUAACCUAUAUUUUGGUCUGUAACCUUUACUUUCAUGAUGUCCCCUCUGUCCUGCAGCUCAGAGGUGAUCCCCGGAUUCUGGUAGUUUCUGCUUGUCACUCAAGAAGAUUAAAUAAUAAAGUUGUUUUUAUUCAAAUAAUUAUUGGGUUUCAAGAAAACAGUCCUACUGUAAUGCAGUUGACAAAAACAACAGGAAGCAGAUCAGAUCAUAUUUUGAUGAUGGCAUUUUAGAAAGAAGUCUUUUCUUUUAAUGUUUUUUUUUGGCGUAGGCUUUUUCUUAUCACUGUUGAUUCUCAGAACGGAGAAUUCUGACUUCUCCAAAGUGACUCAUUUGUAUAAACUCGGAACAGUUUUUCGUUUGGUUGCAAAUAAGUGAAAAGGAAUGAUAUCACAAUGAAAAUAGACAGAUUUCUGAGGUAUAGAUAAAACCAUGUUGGACUCGGCAGCAGAAAGGCGUUUGUGUUGCAGUACUCUGCUUAACUAGACAGUCUGUGGGCUGAAUGGCUUAUGUGUUACAGUCUAUGGGCUGUGAUUGCUACACUAGGCAGUCUAUGGGCUGUGGCUGCUUCACUAGGCAGUCUAUGGGCUGUGGCUGCUUCACUAGGCAGUCUAUGGGCUGUGACUGCUUCACUAGGCAGUCUAUGGGCUGUGACUGCUUCACUAGGCAGUCUAUGGGCUGUGGCUGCUUCACUAGGCAGUCUAUGGGCUGUGGCUGCUUCACUAGGCAGUCUAUGGUCUGUGAUUGCUUCAUGCAUUUGUUGAUCUGUCCCAUGAAGUUGCCCCGCCUUUCGGGCGAAUCAGUCUGAAGUCACCUGUCUCUUCUGUGGAAAGUCGUUCACAGAUCCCUUCCCCCCUCUGGUCCCUCAUAGUUGCUUCGUAUUGUCAACACAAUGCAACAAGUUUGAAAAUGUCACCAGAAAAUGGGUGACCACAUAUGGCUUCACUGUAAGGAGAAUGUCCUUAUUCUUACAUCAUGUUGUGUACCACAGUAGGGAACUAUAUACAAAGGAAAUGUCAAGGGCCAGUGUGUAUUCAGUACCGCUCUUAUCCGGUAAGAAAGACGUGUUUAACUAGACGUACACUAUUCUAAUUCCUGGGUCAACAACAUUGGAGUCCUGAUCAUUCACUUGUGGCACCAAUAAACUGUGAUUAUAAAAUAAAAAGGUGUUUAUAAGACACAAGUAUCUAUUUUACAUUUUUUUUUCUAUUUUACACUUUCCAUUCUAUAGGCUAUAACUUUCUGUGGGAAAUCAGUGAGACUGAGGAAUGAUUUCCCUGAUAAUGACAUCAUUCUCUAUGACUGUUGCAGUAGCUCUUCAAGAGCGCAAUUUUCCAACAUCGCCACUAGAGGGCAGUGUCUAACAUGUAAUGACUAACCACUGACUUUUCCAUCACGUCACAUAGUGGACCUCUACGCCACAGUCCUUAAAACAAAACACAGAUGCUCUUUAAGCCUAUUUAUAUUGACACAAUGCUUACAAUGGCUGAACAGUUUAAAAGGUUCAUUUUAUUUUUAACAGAAUGAUUUUAGUUUUGUGUUAUGUUUUAUGUUGUUAGAAUGCAUUAUUCAGGUCUGACUCGUUCUCUUGUUUCUUGUUCCUGUGUCACUCGGAAGACUAGUAUUGCCUGUGCACCAUGGAGAAAAUGUAUGUUACAUGAUGCACAUUACCUUUUGAAGUGUACUUUUGUCUUUAAACUUUGGCUUAUUUUUGAGUCAGAAAUGCUUCACUGGUAUUAGUCCAUCACCAGGGGGUGGAAGACUUUGCAGACCUCUACUUGCUCAUCAUUGCUAAAUGAUUACACAUCUUUAAAGAAGCAUUAUGGAGUUUUUGGUCUAAGACUAGCGAGGUUUCCUAGCACGAAAAGCAUGCAAACACCAUUAAUAGCCCGGUUUGCAUUGUUAAGCGUUUGCCAAACAUGCUAACUGGCGCUAAUUGGCACUAACUGGUGGUGUUCCAACCCAAAUCCAAGUCCUACAUAGCUCUAAGCCUGGAGGGGUCAGAGGGAACGACAGGUGUGUUGAUCUGUUCUCCACAUGGCCGUAUUCCAUCACAAUUCAUUUAAGGAAGUUACCAAAAGUAGUUGUUUCCAAAAAAAAAAAACAGAGCUCAAAAAUUGGCAGAUUGUUGCAUAGUGCUGCAUUUAAUCAUUUUGCCAUUUCUCUUUUGUGAGAAAAAGCGAAAAGGACUUUUGUUUUGAAAGCUCUCUCACACUGUUUUGGGAGUUGAAGAGGAGCACACAGCAGAAGAUGAACAUGUUUUCAUCAUCAACCCAGUGGGUCUGUUGGAGGAGAGGACAUUCCACAUGUGUCAAAAACAUGAUUAUUUGAAAGACCAUAAGCCAUCCACA
ensembl:lncRNA